CAUGUACUCCCUCCGUUUGAAAUUACUUGUCUCGGAAAUGGAUGUAUUUAGAACUAAAAUACGUCUAGAUAUAUCCAUUUUCGCGAUAAGUAAUUCCGAACGGAGGGAGUAAGAC
rnacentral:pre_miRNA from 1 species